AAAUUGAAGAGUUUGAUCAUGGCUCAGAUUGAACGCUGGCGGCAGGCCUAACACAUGCAAGUCGAACGGUAGCACAGAGAGCUUGCUCUCGGGUGACGAGUGGCGGACGGGUGAGUAAUGUCUGGGAAACUGCCUGAUGGAGGGGGAUAACUACUGGAAACGGUAGCUAAUACCGCAUAACGUCGCAAGACCAAAGAGGGGGACCUUCGGGCCUCUUGCCAUCAGAUGUGCCCAGAUGGGAUUAGCUAGUAGGUGGGGUAACGGCUCACCUAGGCGACGAUCCCUAGCUGGUCUGAGAGGAUGACCAGCCACACUGGAACUGAGACACGGUCCAGACUCCUACGGGAGGCAGCAGUGGGGAAUAUUGCACAAUGGGCGCAAGCCUGAUGCAGCCAUGCCGCGUGUAUGAAGAAGGCCUUCGGGUUGUAAAGUACUUUCAGCGGGGAGGAAGGUGUUGUGGUUAAUAACCACAGCAAUUGACGUUACCCGCAGAAGAAGCACCGGCUAACUCCGUGCCAGCAGCCGCGGUAAUACGGAGGGUGCAAGCGUUAAUCGGAAUUACUGGGCGUAAAGCGCACGCAGGCGGUCUGUCAAGUCGGAUGUGAAAUCCCCGGGCUCAACCUGGGAACUGCAUUCGAAACUGGCAGGCUAGAGUCUUGUAGAGGGGGGUAGAAUUCCAGGUGUAGCGGUGAAAUGCGUAGAGAUCUGGAGGAAUACCGGUGGCGAAGGCGGCCCCCUGGACAAAGACUGACGCUCAGGUGCGAAAGCGUGGGGAGCAAACAGGAUUAGAUACCCUGGUAGUCCACGCCGUAAACGAUGUCGACUUGGAGGUUGUGCCCUUGAGGCGUGGCUUCCGGAGCUAACGCGUUAAGUCGACCGCCUGGGGAGUACGGCCGCAAGGUUAAAACUCAAAUGAAUUGACGGGGGCCCGCACAAGCGGUGGAGCAUGUGGUUUAAUUCGAUGCAACGCGAAGAACCUUACCUACUCUUGACAUCCAGAGAACUUUCCAGAGAUGGAUUGGUGCCUUCGGGAACUCUGAGACAGGUGCUGCAUGGCUGUCGUCAGCUCGUGUUGUGAAAUGUUGGGUUAAGUCCCGCAACGAGCGCAACCCUUAUCCUUUGUUGCCAGCGGUCCGGCCGGGAACUCAAAGGAGACUGCCAGUGAUAAACUGGAGGAAGGUGGGGAUGACGUCAAGUCAUCAUGGCCCUUACGAGUAGGGCUACACACGUGCUACAAUGGCGCAUACAAAGAGAAGCGAACUCGCGAGAGCAAGCGGACCUCAUAAAGUGCGUCGUAGUCCGGAUUGGAGUCUGCAACUCGACUCCAUGAAGUCGGAAUCGCUAGUAAUCGUAGAUCAGAAUGCUACGGUGAAUACGUUCCCGGGCCUUGUACACACCGCCCGUCACACCAUGGGAGUGGGUUGCAAAAGAAGUAGGUAGCUUAACCUUCGGGAGGGCGCUUACCACUUUGUGAUUCAUGACUGGGGUGAAGUCGUAACAAGGUAACCGUAGGGGAACCUGCGGUUGGAUCACCUCCUUACCUUAAAGAA
rnacentral:rRNA from 1 species